rnacentral:rRNA from 1 species
AACGAACGCUGGCGGCAUGCCUAACACAUGCAAGUCGAACGAGAACUUCGGGUCUAGUGGCGCACGGGUGCGUAACGCGUGGGAACCUGCCCUUAGGUUCGGAAUAACUCCCCGAAAGGGGUGCUAAUACCGGAUAAUGUCUUCGGACCAAAGAUUUAUCGCCUUUGGAUGGGCCCGCGUUGGAUUGGCUAGUUGGUAGGGUAAAAGCCUACCAAGGCGACGAUCCAUAGCUGGUCGGGGAGGAGGCCACGCCACACUGGGACUGCGACACGGCCCAGACUCCUACGGAAGGCAGCAGUGGGGUAUAUUGGACAAUGGGCGAAAGCCUGAUCCAGCAAUGCCGCGUGAGUGAUGAAGGCCUUAGUGUUGUAAAGCUCUUUUACCCGGGAUGAUAAUGACAGUACCGGGAGAAUAAGCUCCGGCUAACUCCGUG